rnacentral:misc_RNA from 1 species
UGGUUCUGGCAUCGAUGAAGAACGCAGCGAAAUGCGAUAAGUAAUGUGAAUUGCAGAAUUCAGUGAAUCAUCGAAUCUUUGAACGCACAUUGCACCUUUUGGUAUUCCGAAAGGUAUAUAUGUUUGAACGUCAUUUAAACCUUCAAGUUUUACUUGGUCAUGAGAUGUAUCGACAAGAUAAUCUUCAAAUUAAAUGGCUUGAUUUUAGUUGAACAAACUUUGCAAUGUAAUAGUUAUGUCUUAACUUGAAUUAAUGCCCCAACUCAAAAUCGCUUGCGAUUUUCAAAAUGAAACUUGACUUCAAAUCAUAUAAGAAUACCCGCUGA